rnacentral:rRNA from 1 species
CUACGGGGCGCUCCAGUGAGGAAUAUUGCGCAAUGGGCGAAAGCCUGACGCAGCGACGCCGCGUGAAGGAUGAAGGUCUUCGGAUUGUAAACUUCUGUUAAGUGGAAAGAAAGACUUGCUUUUAAUAGAAGCAAGGGAUGACGGUACCAUUAGAGAAAGCACCGGCUAACUUCGUGCCAGCAGCCGCGGUAAUACGAAGGGUGCAAGCGUUAUUCGGAAUUAUGGGGCGUAAAGGGUGCGUAGGCGGCCUUUCAAGUCUGUUGUUAAAUACCUCGGCCUAACCGAGGAUCGGCAGUGGAGAAGGGUUGGGUAGAGGAUGGAAGAUGGAGAGGGAAUGCUCGGUGUAGCGGGAAAUUGCGUAGAUAGCGAGAGGAAGACCAAUGGCGAAGGCAGCUUCUUGGUCUAUAACUGACGCUGAGGCACGAAAGCGUGGGGAGCAAACAGGAUUAGAUACCCGUGUAGUC